AUUGAACGCUGGCGGCAGGCUUAACACAUGCAAGUCGAGCGGGGUGAUGGUGCUUGCACUAUCACUUAGCGGCGGACGGGUGAGUAAUGCUUAGGAAUCUGCCUAUUAGUGGGGGACAACAUCUCGAAAGGGAUGCUAAUACCGCAUACGUCCUACGGGAGAAAGCAGGGGAUCACUUGUGACCUUGCGCUAAUAGAUGAGCCUAAGUCGGAUUAGCUAGUUGGUGGGGUAAAGGCCUACCAAGGCGACGAUCUGUAGCGGGUCUGAGAGGAUGAUCCGCCACACUGGGACUGAGACACGGCCCAGACUCCUACGGGAGGCAGCAGUGGGGGAUAUUGGACAAUGGGGGGAACCCUGAUUCAGCCAUGCCGCGUGUGUGAAGAAGGCCUUAUGGUUGUAAAGCACUUUAAGCGAGGAGGAGGCUCUUUUGGUUAAUACCCAAGAUGAGUGGACGUUACUCGCAGAAUAAGCACCGGCUAACUCUGUGCCAGCAGCCGCCGUAA
rnacentral:rRNA from 1 species